AAGCGAGCGUAGGUGGCUUGAUAAGUCAGAUGUGAAAUCCCCAGCUUAACCUGGGAACUGCAUCUGAUACUGUUAGGCUAGAAUAGGUGAGAGGAAGGUAGAAUUCCAGGUGUAGCGGUGAAAUGCGUAGAGAUCUGGGGGAAUACCGAUGGCGAAGGCAGCCUUCUGGCAUCAUAUUGACACUGAGGUUCGAAAGCGUGGGUAGCAAACAGGAUUAGAUACCCUGGUAGUCCACGCCGUAAACGAUGUCUACUAGUCGUUGGGUCCCUUGAGGACUUAGUGACGCAGCUAACGCAAUAAGUAGACCGCCUGGGGAGCACGGCCGCAAGGUUAAAACUCAAAUGAAUUGACGGGGGCCCGCACAAGCGGUGGAGCAUGUGGUUUAAUUCGAUGCAACGCGAAGAACCUUACCUGGUCUUGACAUAUCUAGAAUCCUGCAGAGAUGCGGGAGUGCCUUCGGGAAUUAGAAUACAGGUGCUGCAUGGCUGUCGUCAGCUCGUGUCGUGAGAUGUUGGGUUAAGUCCCGCAACGAGCGCAACCCUUGUCCUUAGUUACCAGCGGGUUAAGCCGGGAACUCUAAGGAUACUGCCAGUGACAAACUGGAGGAAGGCGGGGACGACGUCAAGUCAUCAUGGCCCUUACGACCAGGGCUACACACGUGCUACAAUGGUAGGUACAGAGGGCAGCUACACAGCGAUGUGAUGCGAAUCUCAAAAAGCCUAUCGUAGUCCAGAUUGGAGUCUGCAACUCGACUCCAUGAAGUAGGAAUCGC
rnacentral:rRNA from 1 species